UACGGAGGAUGCGAGCGUUAUCCAGAUUUAUUGGGUUUAAAGGGUGCGUAGGCGGAUUUUUAAGUCAGCGGUAAAAUGUCCGGGCUCAACCCGGGCCGGCCGUUGAAACUGGGGAUCCUGAGUGGGCGAGAAGUAUGCGGAAUGCGUGGUGUAGCGGUGAAAUGCAUAGAUAUCACGCAGAACUCCGAUUGCGAAGGCAGCAUACCGGCGCUCAACUGACGCUCAUGCACGAAAGCGUGGGGAGCAAACAGG
rnacentral:rRNA from 1 species